rnacentral:ncRNA from 1 species
GUAAACGCUGUGAACAGGAACAGUAGGAACGUCCGGGAAGGGCAUGCCCGAGAGGGAUGCCGGCAGAGAGCUGCGGGGAGGUGCGACGCAGCCGAUGGACGUCUGAAGCUCUCCUGGGAGCGGAAUGCCUGAACGGUCACGCCAUGUUCCGAAGCCGGACGCCCUUGAGGCGGAGAGGCUUCGGACGCGGCCGCAGGGCAUUACGGCUGGCCCCGUCAUCGGCUUUGCGAUUCAACGCCGUCCGGACGGCGCUGAAUCGCAAUCAAGGGGACGCCGUUCAUGGCGGCGUCAACGAGAGUGGUACCGCGCGGGCAUAGCCUGUCGUCUCUUGC